UACAGAGGGUGCGAGCGUUGUUCGGAAUUAUUGGGCGUAAAGGGCGCGUAGGCGGUGCGGUAAGUCACCUGUGAAAUCUCCUGGCUCAACUGGGAGCUUGCAGGCGAAACUGCCGUGCUGGAGUGUGGGAGAGGUGCGUGGAAUUCCUGGUGUAGCGGUGAAAUGCGUAGAUAUCAGGAGGAACACCUGUGGCGAAAGCGGCGCACUGGACCACAACUGACGCUGAGGCGCGAAAGCGAGGGGAGCAAACAGG
rnacentral:rRNA from 1 species